rnacentral:rRNA from 1 species
AGAGUUUUGAUCUUGGUUUAGGAUGAACGCUGGCGGCAUGCCUAAUACAUGCAAGUCGAACGGACGAGGACGAGCUUGCUCGAACUCGUCAGUGGCGAACGGGUGAGUAACACGUAGGUAACCUGCCCAUGUGCCUGGGACAACGCCUGGAAACGGGUGCUAAAACCGGAUAGGUAAUAAGAUCGCAUGAACUUAUUAUUAAAGGGGCCACGGCCCUGAACAUGGAUGGACCUGCGGUGCAUUAGCUAGUUGGUGAGGUAACGGCCCACCAAGGCGACGAUGCAUAGCCGACCUGAGAGGGCGAACGGCCACAUUGGGACUGAGACACGGCCCAAACUCCUACGGGAGGCAGCAGUAGGGAAUUUUCGUCAAUGGGGGGAACCCUGAACGAGCAAUGCCGCGUGAGUGAAGACGGUCUUCGGAUUGUAAAGCUCUGUUGCGAGAGAAAAAAGAGAUGGAGAGGGAAUGCUCCAUGGAUGAUUGUAUCUCGCCAGAAAGCACGGCUAUACUACGUGCCAACAGCCGCGGUAAUGCGCAUCCCGUACUACU